AGUGAACGCUGGCGGUAGGCCUAACACAUGCAAGUCGAACGGCAGCACAGUAAGAGCUUGCUCUUACGGGUGGCGAGUGGCGGACGGGUGAGGAAUACAUCGGAAUCUACUUUUUCGUGGGGGAUAACGUAGGGAAACUUACGCUAAUACCGCAUACGACCUACGGGUGAAAGCAGGGGAUCUUCGGACCUUGCGCGAUUGAAUGAGCCGAUGUCGGAUUAGCUGGUUGGCGGGGUAAAGGCCCACCAAGGCGACGAUCCGUAGCUGGUCUGAGAGGAGGGUCAGCCACACUGGAACGGAGACACGGUCCAGACUCCUACGGGAGGCAGCAGUGGGGAAUAUUGGACAAUGGGCGCAAGCCUGAUCCAGCCAUACCGCGUGGGUGAAGAAGGCCUUCGGGUUGUAAAGCCCUUUUGUUGGGAAAGAAAAGCAGCAGGUUAAUACCCCGCUGUUCUGACGGUACCCAAAGAAUAAGCACCGGCUAACUUCGUG
rnacentral:rRNA from 1 species